CAGUCGCCACGGUAAUACAGAGGGUGCAAGCGUUAAUCGGAAUUACUGGGCGUAAAGCGUGCGUAGGUGGUGGUUUAAGUCCGUUGUGAAAGCCCUGGGCUCAACCUGGGAAUUGCAGUGGAUACUGGGUCACUAGAGUGUGGUAGAGGAUAGUGGAAUUUCCGGUGUAGCAGUGAAAUGCGUAGAGAUCGGAAGGAACAUCUGUGGCGAAGGCGACUAUCUGGGCCAACACUGACACUGAGGCACGAAAGCGUGGGGAGCAAACAGGAUUAGAUACCCCGGUAGUCCCUGUCUCUUAUAC
rnacentral:rRNA from 1 species